GAUGAACGCUGGCGGCGUGCCUAAUACAUGCAAGUAGAACGCUGAAGGAAGGAGCUUGCUCUUUCCGGAUGAGUUGCGAACGGGUGAGUAACGCGUAGGUAACCUGCCUGGUAGCGGGGGAUAACUAUUGGAAACGAUAGCUAAUACCGCAUAACAGUAGAUGUUGCAUGAUAUCUACUUAAAAGGUGCAAUUGCACCACUACCAGAUGGACCUGCAUUGUAUUAGCUAGUUGGUGAGGUAACGGCUCACCAAGGCGACGAUACAUAGCCGACCUGAGAGGGUGAUCGGCCACACUGGGACUGAGACACGGCCCAGACUCCUACGGGAGGCAGCAGUAGGGAAUCUUCGGCAAUGGACGGAAGUCUGACCGAGCAACGCCGCGUGAGUGAAGAAGGUUUUCGGAUCGUAAAGCUCUGUUGUAAGAGAAGAACGAGUGUGAGAGUGGAAAGUUCACACUGUGACGGUAUCUUACCAGAAAGGGACGGCUAACUACGUG
rnacentral:rRNA from 1 species